AAAUGUUGGGUUAAGUCCCGCAACGAGCGCAACCCUUAUCCUUUGUUGCCAGCGAUUAGGUCGGGAACUCAAAGGAGACUGCCAGUGAUAAACUGGAGGAAGGUGGGGAUGACGUCAAGUCAUCAUGGCCCUUACGACCAGGGCUACACACGUGCUACAAUGGCGCAUACAAAGAGAAGCGACCUCGCGAGAGCAAGCGGACCUCAUAAAGUGCGUCGUAGUCCGGAUUGGAGUCUGCAACUCGACUCCAUGAAGUCGGAAUCGCUAGUAAUCGUGGAUCAGAAUGCCACGGUGAAUACGUUCCCGGGCCUUGUACACACCGCCCGUCACACCAUGGGAGUGGGUUGCAAAAGAAGUAGGUAGCUUAACCUUCGGGAGGGCGCUUACCACUUUGUGAUUCAUGACUGGGGUGAAGUCGUAACAAGGUAACCGUAGGGGAACCUGCGGUUGGAUCACCUCCUUACCUUAAAGAA
rnacentral:rRNA from 1 species